CGGGCUGUAGUUCAGUUGGCAGAACGCCUGCUUUGGGAGCAGGAGGCCGCCGGUUCGAGUCCGGCCAGCCCGA
rnacentral:tRNA from 1 species